ACUCAAAGGAAUUGACGGGGGCCCGCACAAGCGGCGGAGCAUGUUGCUUAAUUCGAUGCAACGCGAAGAACCUCACCUAGGUUGAACUACGCAGGAAAAGCCACAGAGAUGUGGUGUCCUUCGGGGUCUGCGAUAGGUGGUGCAUGGCUGUCGUCAGCUCGUGUCGUGAGAUGUUGGGUUAAGUCCCGCAACGAGCGCAACCCUUGUCCUGUGUUGCCAGCGGAUUAUGCCGGGGACUCGCAGGAGACUGCCGGGGUCAACUCGGAGGAAGGUGGGGACGACGUCAAGUCAUCAUGCCCCUUACGUCUAGGGCUGCAAACAUGCUACAAUGGACGGUACAACGGGCUGCGAAACCGCGAGGUUUAGCGAAUCCCUUAAAGCCGUUCUCAGUUCGGAUCGGAGUCUGCAACUCGACUCCGUGAAGCUGGAGUCGCUAGUAAUCCCGGAUCAGCAUUGCCGGGGUGAAUACGUUCCCGGGCCUUGUACACACCGCCCGU
rnacentral:rRNA from 1 species